rnacentral:rRNA from 1 species
AUUGAACGCUGGCGGCAUGCCUUACACAUGCAAGUCGAACGGCAGCGGACCUUCGGGUGCCGGCGAGUGGCGAACGGGUGAGUAAUGCAUCGGAACGUGCCAUUGAGUGGGGGGAUAACGUAGCGAAAGUUGCGCUAAUACCGCAUAUUCUGUGAGCAGGAAAGCAGGGGACCGCAAGGCCUUGCGCUCUUUGAGCGGCCGAUGUCAGAUUAGCUAGUUGGUGAGGUAACGGCUUACCAAGGCGACGAUCUGUAGCGGGUCUGAGAGGAUGAUCCGCCACACUGGAACUGAGACACGGUCCAGACUCCUACGGGAGGCAGCAGUGGGGAAUUUUGGACAA